AGCAGGAGAUAGAAGCCAGGUUAGGGUUUCUGGGGUGCUGAUAUGUUAGGGCAGAUGGCCAGGUGAUUCUCUGACAGCUGCACUGUGCCAGUCAUGGAGCAGGGCCGGUGACACCGAGGCAAAUCCGAGGUCACCUUGAGAAGGCCGAAGGCGACCGGCAGAGUUCUUCCUGCUCCAGAAGGUCCUCAGGGCUUAUGUUCAUCUGGCGGCAGCCACUGCCUGCAGGAGUCCGAGAACCUGCUGUGAGGAGGUGAAGGAGUUUUUUUUACAUCUGCAUAGCUUUGAUGUUCUCGGAGCGGAUGCAGUUCCCAUCCAUUGAGGAACCAGGCAGAGUGCCUCAGCGGACCCCAGGUGGCACCAUCCAACCUUCUCAAUGGACUCCAGAACCCUGCAGAGAAUCCAGUGUGCCCUUUGUCAGAUGGUUUUCCAGCCUUGGAAACCUGAACACUUGGAACAGUUCCUGGACUGCAUUCUUUGAGCUGGCCCUAUGGAGCAGUAUGGCCUUGAGGCUCCCUGGUAUCCAGCCAUGAAAUAAGUAUGCCCUCGCCCCUUGAAGUCAUCCAUCUGAUUGUGGCACCACCACCAAGUCCCUCUGUUCUCCCUACCAGAUUACUGCUUCCCAUGGAACAGGAAGUAGCUGUCCGAAAGUCAGUAGGGGAAAGUAUCGGCCACCAGCUUUGUCCUGUUGGCCCUUCUUGUGGCCGGUUCCCAUUGGCCAGCACUCUGAUCAUCCCCUACUGGAGUGCAGCGGAUUCCCAGAGGGCCGUUGCAUCAUGCCUAAUAAACUAAGAUAGCCAGUGCAUCACCAUGUUCUCUCUUUCAGUUUUCUAUCUCGCAUGAAGAGAUGCUCACAGUACCAUGUCGUUUUUACAGUCGGGCAAAAUGUAUGCCUCUCUUUGCUGACAUAGCUAUUCCUGGAUGAGAUUAAAGGGGCUGCGUGUUGAGGUACACAGUAAGAUGGCUGCCAAAAAGUCAUUUUCUCUUUAUUAAAUACUGUAAGUCUUCCCAAAGGGGACUGAUAACAGAAAGACAGUGCCACACAAUUAAUAUUCCGAUUAAGAUGCUUGCGAGUGAUAAGGACGAUCCAUCCUUUUUGCAGGCCAGUUCGGUUUCUGGCGUGUACUUUAGGAGGACUAAUGACAGCAGUGAUUAAUAGUGUGUUGAUGUUCUUCUUCUGGUGCAGAACGGACUGUUGCCCUACCACAGGAUGACUGCAGAAGCAGGAGGAUCACAACCAAUCAAGCAGUCAAGGCUUCCCUAACACCAUUAACAUUUUCUCAUUGAUACUGAUAUGCUGCCAGGGCAUUUCACACUUCAAGCUAAGCAAGAAUGUAUAUGAUUUAUUGCAAUGGCAGGGGGUUCCAUUGGGGGUCUUUCUCCUAAAAGCUUACGGAAAAAUAUCCAGUGGAAUCUAUUAAAUAAAAUGUUGAAAAGACACCCCAUGCAACAAAUGAGAUAAAUCUGUUCCUUUAGGAUAGAACUUUUCGGGGAAGAAAUAAAGCUUUAUACUGUAGUUAAUGGAUCCGGGCAGUCAAUCCAAAAUUACUCUGAGAAAUGGUGUUUAAACAUUAUUAAACUGAUAAGACAUUGAACUUCCUGUCAUGAAAAAUAGAAGCAUGGCCUUUAUUUUUAUUAUAAAUACAGUCUUCAUUAUGCCAACAAAGACUGAUUAACUCAAUGGGUAGUCCAGCAGGAAAACUGCAUUCGAUUUUUUUUCAUUAAAUGCUACAUGACAGUUGAUGCAUCAUGCUCGGAUGGUCUCCACAGCUCAGAUAAACACUUUCUUAUCAAUAAGAGCUAUAUUGUAACACUACAUUAUGAUUU